rnacentral:rRNA from 1 species
UACGUAGGGUGCAAGCGUUGCCCGGAUUUAUUGGGCGUAAAGGGCGCGUAGGCGGCUCGGCACGUCCGUUGUGAAAUCGCCCGGCUCAACUGGGCGGGGUCAGCGGAUACGGCCGAGCUUGAGCAAGCUAGGGGCAAUGGAAUUCCCGGUGUAGUGGUGGAAUGCGUAGAUAUCGGGAGGAACACCAGUGGCGAAGGCGGUUGCCUGGG